UUUUUAAUAGAAAACAGAUGUAUUUCAAAAUAUUUGAUACAAUUUUUUGAUUACCUGACUUCUUAGCUUAUUGUUUAAUUAAUUACAAUGGCGUUGUUACUACUUGCACUCAGCACUCAAAUACUGCUACUAAUACUACUUCUACAACUAUUUGACUAUCCUAACAAUCACUACGAAGAAUUCUAACAAUAGUAAUGAUGAUAUGAUCCGAAUAACAAUAACAAAUGAGAUAUGUGGUGAUAUCAUGAGAGAAGCUAUGUAAUUGUUGUAAUCUGCAACGGCCGAAGCAAAGUUGACACCAUGUAACCUUUGUUCAAUAUUCGAUUCUUUUUUUAGAACACCUGAUAUAGUGUUUCAUAUACCCAUCAGAUCAUCUGAAAAAGAAAAAAACUACCAUUCAUUAUUGAAUUAUACCAAGUUCUAGUUCUAUUUGGUGCAUAGUAUAUUACUCAGUUAUUGACCAUCCAAUCUCGAAAACAAGUGGUAGAGAUUUGAUGGAAACUAUACUUGCUUAGGUUUCGCCAUUAAAUAAAAUGUUAAAUCGCAACCAUCAGUUAUGGACCAUUGGUGUUAUGUGUUCCUAUGUAUUGUGGACACUAUAGUUUAUAGCAUACAUGUACAAGAAAAAGAAAUUGACAAAUUCAUGCAAAAAGUAAAAAGAAAUAAAUAGUUAAAAUAUAUAAAAUUAUCAAUCUUUACCUAUAAAAUUGAUAAGGAAUCUGGUAUCUUUCUCGUGGGACGAUAACCAUCAAAGUGGCAGGAGUUUAGAGGGAUGUAUUGUGGUUGUUUUCAUGUCAUGUGAUGUAUACUCCUAAUCGCAUCACCAUCACUAAUACUACGAUAUCACGUAUAUU
rnacentral:lncRNA from 1 species